UACGUAGGGUGCGAGCGUUGUCCGGAAUUACUGGGCGUAAAGAGCUCGUAGGCGGUUUGUCACGUCGUCCGUGAAAACUCGGAGCUUAACUCCGAGCUUGCGGGCGAUACGGGCAGACUUGAGUACUACAGGGGAGACUGGAAUUCCUGGUGUAGCGGUGAAAUGCGCAGAUAUCAGGAGGAACACCGGUGGCGAAGGCGGGUCUCUGGGUAGUAACUGACGCUGAGGAGCGAAAGCAUGGGGAGCAAACAGGAUUAGAAACCCUAGUAGUCC
rnacentral:rRNA from 1 species